rnacentral:rRNA from 1 species
AGAGUUUGAUCCUGGCUCAGAACGAACGUUGGCGGCGUGGAUUAGGCAUGCAAGUCGAACGAAUCCCCGGGGCAACCCGGGGGGAAGUGGCGAAAGGGGCAGUAAGGCGUGGGCAACCUACCCCGGGGACGGGCAUAGCCGUCCUAACGGACGGGUAAUUCCCGGCGAUGUGCCGGGGGGGCAUCCCCCUGGCAUGAAAGGAAUCUCGCCUCGGGAGGGGCUCACGUGAUAUCAGCUCGUUGGCGGGGUGACGGCCCACCAAGGCGACGACGUCUAGCGGGUGUGAGAGCACGACCCGCGCCACUGGCACUGAGACACUGGCCAGACUCCUACGGGAGGCUGCAGUCGAGGAUCUUCGGCAAUGGGCGCAAGCCUGACCGAGCGACGCCGCGUAUGCGAUGAAGGCCUUCGGGUUGUAAAGCACUGUCGAGGGGGAGGAAGCCGCAAGGUUGACCUAUCCCUGGAGGAAGCACGGGCUAAGUUCGUGCCAGCAGCCGCGGUAAUUC